GCCAAAAAAUACAUGCAUUAACUGCUUUUUUUUUAAGGUUUUCUGAUUCUUUUGAAUUUUCUAAAGGUUCAGUGAAGAUUUUUAAUCUCAUGUGUUGCAGACUCUGCAGAUUCAAAUGUUGUUUGUCUUUUUAUAUAGAUUUUCUAUCUGGAACCAGCAACGAACAACCGCUCAAGCACUGCUCAUUCAUUUUUUCUGAAGGCAGUAGAGAACUACGGCUGGCCUUCCAGGGUCAGGGCUGAUCAAGGCGUUGAGAAUAUCUUAAUUGCUGAAACCAUGUUCACUGUUAAAGGAACUGGAAGAGGAAGUUUUAUAGCCGGGCGGAGUGUACAUAAUCAAAGAAUCGAACGUCUGUGGCGAGAUGUCUGGACUUGCGUGACACACCUUUUCUAUGAAGUACUUCACAGUCUCGAGGAGGAUGGCCUUUUGGAUUUGGCAGAUUCUGUUCAUCUGUUUUGUGCCCACUAUGUCUUCCUUCCGCGUCUGGCAGAGGCCCUGCACAGCUUCACAGAAGGCUGGGACAACCAUCCCUUAAGGUCAGAAGGUGGGCUCUCUCCAAACCAGCUCUGGGUUUUGGGUCACAUGAAUAAGCCUUGUGACCCAAAUAAUGAUGUGCAGAACAUGGAGCUAUUUGGAACAGACUGGGAGAUGUUUGAUGCUGU